ACGAAGGAAUGUUCGACAAGACCGCCACUUCGUGUGGCAACGUCGAACCACCCCACUUCCUGUGGG
rnacentral:sRNA from 1 species